CAAAUCUUCACAUGAAAGUUGGCUGAACCCCCAAAGUGCUUGGUGAAUGGAUUGUGUAUGGGCAUCCGCAUUAAAGCCAGUCCCAGCCAGGCUUAAGGAGAGCUGGAAUGGAGAGGAUUCUCAUCUAACAACUGGGUUGCAGUUGUAUGUUAACAUGGACUUCCUAGGAAGUAACAUAUCAAACAAAAGGGAAAGUGAUCAACCAGCAGCAGGUACCAGCCACAGUUAACUGCACCUGCUAGGAGCUCUGAAAGACUUUUUUUUUUUUUUUAACGAGUAAAGAAAUUCUCAUUUCACUCUCCUCCACACUGGACUCACUGAAAAAAGAGCUACUCUCUGAUGAAGUUGGUGGCGCUGUGGAAGAGGACCGCCGCCUCCUGGACGAGGACCGGGACCGCUCAGCAUUGAGAGCUGAUAGAAAAAGCCUGCUUAAGCUGCAGCUGCCAGAAUAAAAGGUCUGACUGACAGGAAAGGACCCAGAUAAGAUCCUGGAGGCAAUGGGAUGUGUGGCUGCUCAACACAGACCGACCACACUUGCUCACUGCCAUGUCAUCUCAUACCCUUCCACCCUGGACAUACAUAUCUUCUCACAUGCACCAAAACUCUGUGCAUGGAGAGAAUCCCCAAACCAACAGAAAAAUGAUUGACACAGAAGCCAAGUGCCAGCACUGCGUAUAAGUAACACUACCACCAUCCACAGUGAAGUUAAAAGGAGUUUGAGUAAAUUCUUAGAUCCAUCUUCAUACUUCCACUUCCUCAGACAGCCGGGAGAGCCACCUUUCAGAAGCUUUUUUCAUCUGAUCCUCAUGUCCUUUCAAAGGGAUGAUCACAAGUUUUGAGAACAAAUUUAGGAGUUUGAAGAAAAUGAGAGUAAAUCAUGGAGAGUAGAAGACAUUCCAAAGUGGUAAAUGUAGGCUGAAAAUGUAGCAUCUGAACCUGGGAGGCUCUGAUCAUCUACUAUAAACGUGGACCUACUAACUGCAAUGAAGUAUCACAGGACUGUCUGAUAGAGUUAUGCAAGAUGAAGCUGGCUCACUUCCGAAAGCUUUCUAGGUUCAAGGUAAUGCAGGAAUCAAUAGGAUGGAAUACUGCAAAGGGAAGCUUGGAGAGAGAAUAGCCUCUGCACUUUGACUGUUUUGCAGUUAACCAAAGGCCAUCAAGGAUCAGAAUUACAAAAAUCAAACAAACCCAUGAGCUUGAGCUCAGUUGUGCAAUGUUUGUCAGUCAUCUCUCUUCAAAACAAGCACAGGACAUCGUCUUAAAUUCUACCUCUGUUAAACUAUACUUCCCAAACAAGAACCUAUCAAACCCAGAGACAUUUCCUUCUAUUAAAAUAACAAAAUUAG